ensembl:snoRNA Gm22536 small nucleolar RNA SNORA17
CCUGGCCCACUGAUGCCAGAGUGAAUGUGGCUGCUGUGGCACAAGUGUAUCAGUAGGUGACAGAGAGGAGAGAGGAUAUAUCCACACUCAGCAUUCUGACUUCUGAACAUAUGAACAAGUAGUAGCCUAAUAGU